rnacentral:rRNA from 1 species
UACGAAGGGGACUAGCGUUGUUCGGAAUCACUGGGCGUAAAGCGCACGUAGGCGGAUAUGUCAGUCAGGGGUGAAAUCCCGGGGCUCAACCUCGGAACUGCCUUUGAUACAGCAUAUCUUGAGUCCGAUAGAGGUGGGUGGAAUUCCUAGUGUAGAGGUGAAAUUCGUAGAUAUUAGGAAGAACACCGGUGGCGAAAGCGGCGCGCUGGACCUCUUCUGACGCUGAGGCGCGAAAGCCAGGGGAGCGAACGGG